rnacentral:rRNA from 1 species
GACGAACGCUGGCGGCGUGCCUAAUACAUGCAAGUAGAACGCACAGUUUAUACCGUAGCUUGCUACACCAUAGACUGUGAGUUGCGAACGGGUGAGUAACGCGUAGGUAACCUGCCUGGUAGCCGGGGAUAACUAUUGGAAACGAUAGCUAAUACCGCAUAAUAUUAAUUAUUGCAUGAUAAUUAAUUGAAAGGUGCAAUUGCACCACUACCAGAUGGACCUGCGUUGUAUUAGCUAGUAGGUGAGGUAACGGCCCACCUAGGCGACGAUACAUAGCCGACCUGAGAGGGUGAUCGGCCACACUGGGACUGAGACACGGCCCAGACUCCUACGGGAGGCAGCAGUAGGGAAUCUUCGGCAAUGGACGAAAGUCUGACCGAGCAACGCCGCGUGAGUGAAGAAGGUUUUCGGAUCGUAAAGCUCUGUUGUAAGAGAAGAACGGGUGUGAGAGUGGAAAGUUCACACUGUGACGGUAUCUUACCAGAAAGGGACGGCUAACUACGUG